CUUGCUUCUCUUGAGAGCGGCGGACGGGUGAGUAAUGCCUAGGAAUCUGCCUGGUAGUGGGGGAUAACGUUCGGAAACGGACGCUAAUACCGCAUACGUCCUACGGGAGAAAGCAGGGGACCUUCGGGCCUUGCGCUAUCAGAUGAGCCUAGGUCGGAUUAGCUAGUUGGUGGGGUAAUGGCUCACCAAGGCUACGAUCCGUAACUGGUCUGAGAGGAUGAUCAGUCACACUGGAACUGAGACACGGUCCAGACUCCUACGGGAGGCAGCAGUGGGGAAUAUUGGACAAUGGGCGAAAGCCUGAUCCAGCCAUGCCGCGUGUGUGAAGAAGGUCUUCGGAUUGUAAAGCACUUUAAGUUGGGAGGAAGGGUUGUAGAUUAAUACUCUGCAAUUUUGACGUUACCGACAGAAUAAGCACCGGCUAACUCUGUGCCAGCAGCCGCGGUAAUACAGAGGGUGCAAGCGUUAAUCGGAAUUACUGGGCGUAAAGCGCGCGUAGGUGGUUUGUUAAGUUGGAUGUGAAAUCCCCGGGCUCAACCUGGGAACUGCAUUCAAAACUGACUGACUAGAGUAUGGUAGAGGGUGGUGGAAUUUCCUGUGUAGCGGUGAAAUGCGUAGAUAUAGGAAGGAACACCAGUGGCGAGGCGACCACCUGGACUAAUACUGACACUGAGGUGCGAAAGCGUGGGGAGCAAAC
rnacentral:rRNA from 1 species